rnacentral:rRNA from 1 species
GACGAACGCUGGCGGCGUGCUUAACACAUGCAAGUCGAACGGAAAGUCCCUGCUUUUGUGGGGUGCUCUAGUUGCGAACUGGUGAGUAACACUUGAGUUACCUGCCCUUGACUUUGGGAUAACUUCAUGAAACUUGGUCUCAUACCGGAUAGGAUCUCCUGCUUCUUGGUGGGGGUUGGUAAGUUUCGGCGGUUGGGGGUGGACUGGCGUCUUAUCAGAUUGUUGGUUGGGUAGUGUCUUACCAAGGCUUUGAGAGGUAGCCGGCCUGGGCGGGUGACCGGCCUAAGCGGGACGGAGAUAAGGCACAGACUCGUACGGGAGGCAGCAGUGGGGAAUAUAGUACAAUGGGAGGAAGCAUGAUGCAGCAAAGCAGCGUGGGGGAUGACGGGAAUGGGGUUGGAAACCGAUGUCGCCUGUGACGAAGCGUGAGUGACGGUAAUGGGUAAAGAAGCACCGGCUAACUACGUG